UACAGACGGUCCAAACGUUAUUCGGAAUCACUGGGCUUAAAGAGUUCGUAGGCGGUCCAGAAAGUGGGGUGUGAAAGCCCUCGGCUUAACCGAGGAAUUGCGCUCCAAACUACUGGACUUGAGGAGGCUAGAGGUAAGCGGAACUGAUGGUGGAACGGUGAAAUGCGUUGAUAUCAUCAGGAACACCGGAGGCGAAGGCGGCUUACUGGGGCCUAUCUGACGCUGAGGAGCGAAAGCGUGGGGAGCGAACAGG
rnacentral:rRNA from 1 species